AACGAACGCUGGCGGCAUGGCUAAGACAUGCAAGUCGUACGGGCCGUAGUAGCAAUAUUGCGGUCAGUGGCGAAAGGGUGCGUAAUGCAUGGGUAACGUACCCCGGACUCAGGGAUAACGGCGGGAGCUUCGGCUCCCUUUAGCGAAAGUGCUGCUAAUACCUGAUGAUAUCGUUGGAUCGCAUGGUCCGACGAGCAAAGGUGGGGACCUUCGGGCCUGCCGGUCUGGGAGCGACCCAUGUCCUAUCAGCUUGUUGGUGGGGUAAUGGCCUACCAAGGCUGCGACGGGUAGCGGGCGUGAGAGCGUGGCCCGCCUCAUCGGGACUGAGACACUGCCCGGACACCUACGGGUGGCUGCAGUAACGAAUAUUGGGCAAUGGGCGCAAGCCUGACCCAGCAAUGCCGCGUGCAGGAGGAAGCCCUUCGGGGUGUAAACUGCUGUCAGGGUCCAGCAAGCAAUGCGGGUGAAUAGCCCGCGGCGUUGAGCAGACCCAAAGGAAGUCUCGGCUAACUCUGUGCCAGCAGCCGCGGUAAGACAGAGGAGGCAAGCGUUGUUCGGAAUUACUGGGCUUAAAGCGGGUGUAGGCGGCCUGGCAAGUGUCGUGUGAAAUCCCUCGGCUCAACCGAGGAACUGCACGGCAAACUGCUUGGCUUGAGGUCGGUAGAGGUGCCUGGAACUCUCGGUGGGGCGGUGAAAUGCGUAGAUAUCGAGAGGAACGCCAGUGGCGAAAGCGGGGCACUGGGCCGAUUCUGACGCUGAGACCCGAAAGCGUGGGGAGCAAACAGGAUUAGAUACCCUGGUAGUCCACGCCGUAAACGAUGCACACUAGGUGCCGGUGUCUCUGACGGUUUCGGCGCCGAAGCAAAAGUGCUAAGUGUGCCGCCUGGGGAGUACGGCCGCAAGGCUA
rnacentral:rRNA from 1 species